GUACGGAUCACUGGUUUGAUGGAAACGUGUAUACGUGGCUGCAAGAGAAAUAGCAAAACAAAAUAAAUGUGGUCGUCGUGUGAACUUAUUUGGUGUCGUGACUCUCGAUCCACUCCUUGAGCUGUUUCUCAGGCAGAUAAAACUAAGAAUAUGAAUAAGAAUUACCAUGAAUGAUUUUGGGAGCUUAUAGAAAAGAGUUAAACCAGGUUCUAAAUUUGUGAUAUGCUGGUGGCAGACUACAGUGACUAGCAUUUAUCAUAUUUCAGGCCUGAACCACCCAUCGAAAACACAAGAUGUGCAAGUUUUGAUACUGACCCGUCAUCACCAACAAUCUCAGCAUCAUCAAUUGGAUAAACAGCUCCUAGUUUGAUUGGAAAAACUCUGUCCUCGUGUACACCCAUGUGAGUGUGGGGGUAUUCACGAGGACCCCUUUUCCUAUCCUGCCUGGUGUCAACUUUACUGAGGAUCCUGGCUGCACUGUGGAUGCCUGGCUGUGGAUUUCCCAGGCUUAAAGGUAGGACAAAUGUCUCUCCCUAUUCUUCCUUUUUUGUCUAUUUGGUGGC